GAAACUUUGUCAACUAGCAGUGCUUUUCUUCUGUAUUGAUCUGCAGUCAUGUAAUCCAGCUAUGACAUUCAAGGUAAUAGUGCCUUGGAAGUCACUCAAAAAGAAAUGCUCCACAUUCUCUGUGUGGAGAACUUUACAUGUUUUACCUUGUCCUCAUUACUUCAUAGCACUUGUGUGCAUUACUGAAAUACUGCGUACCUGACUGAAGGACUGCAAAACAUUCCAGGAAACAGAAUGUGUGAUGGCCUUGAAACAUGAAAAUGAGAGUACGUAUCCACACAUUUGAGAUGUGACCAUACAUUGGAGUUCCAAGCCAAAAGCCUCUCCGUCUUCUUUUGAAUAACAAAUCCCAGAGAUCCCCCUAUGUCAGAAAUUAGCUACUCUCAAGGUUAAUCCUUCUCAAUGGUCAUACAGUGGUAGGCAUGGAGAAGACAGCAGGAAUUGCCUUCUGUUCAGCAACCAGACACCACCCCCUGCAACGUUUCCGCGCUGCCUUUCCCAAGCCCCCCACGGCUGGACCAAGGCAGUGGCCAAGCCCACCUUUCAGAUUGCCAUCCAGAGACUUGGACUUAAAGUGUGAGGUCUGUCUUCACAGCCAACUUCACGCUGUGUGAAGUUCCUAUGCCAUGAAAACUGAGGUUGAAAAAUCAUUAAUAAAACGGAUAUCAUAUGGAAACGGGUUUAAGAAAUUCUGAAAGUUAAUUUUCUCCACUUUUAGAUAAUCAGUCCCAAAUGCAUGCUGUGCUAUAGAAAAAAAUCUGCUAAAAUAAAAAAGGAACCACAUUAAAUAAGAUGUGAUUAAACAGAUUAAAAAAACAUUCACUGAAGUUCAUUUUUGUAAAGGAGAAAAAAUUUAUGUCUCAGCUUCUGUAAAUUGGACUCUCAGCAUUUAAAAAUCUUUCUUUGCUUGUAAUAAAGACAUACAAUAAGACUGGAAAUGGAAAA